rnacentral:lncRNA from 1 species
CUUUCCAGCUGGCGUUAGAGUGUGGCUUGCGAGUGCAACUGGCCGUAAUACACUCUCGAAUUCCUGUAGCAAUACAGCGCCGAGACCGUAGUCGCUAGUGUCUGUUCGCACCACAAAAGGCUUGUCAACACUGCGCCG